GAUGAACGCUGGCGGCGUGCUUAACACAUGCAAGUCGAACGAUGAACCGGGUGCUUGCACUCGGGGAUUAGUGGCGAACGGGUGAGUAACACGUGAGCAACCUGCCCCUGACUCUGGGAUAAGCGCUGGAAACGGCGUCUAAUACUGGAUAUGUCCCGUCACCGCAUGGUGUGCGGGUGGAAAGAUUUUUCGGUUGGGGAUGGGCUCGCGGCCUAUCAGCUUGUUGGUGAGGUAAUGGCUCACCAAGGCGUCGACGGGUAGCCGGCCUGAGAGGGGGACAGGCCACACUGGGGCUGAGACACGGCCCAGACUCCUACGGGAGGCAGCAGUGGGGAAUAUUGCAGAAUGGGCGGAAGCCUGAUGCAGCAACGCCGCGUGAGGGAUGACGGCCUUCGGGUUGUAAACCUCUUUUAGCAGGGAAGAAGCGAGAGUGACGGUACCUGCAGAAAAAGCACCGGCUAACUACGUGCCAGCCGCCGCCGUAACAC
rnacentral:rRNA from 1 species